rnacentral:misc_RNA from 1 species
UAAAAGCAUAAAAGCAACCGUACAAGUAACAAGUUUAAUGAACAAAUGUAUAUAAAAAAAUAUUAAGCUACAGAUUCUGUGUGCUCUGAUCAUGGGGAUCAACAAAAUCACUUGAAGGGCGAGAUGAUGACACUAUUUGCCUCAUCAUACGUCUCAUCUCCUUAUGCAUAGAGUGAGAUUACUCUUCACUCUGUUGCUUGAGGCGCAAUACCUCCUUCUUAACACAUUGCUAGAGAAUUCACUCUUGAUUUUCUCUCAUACGCACAAUCUCCUUCUCAAGCAUUCUAAUGCGCUCAUCAGCAACAUGAUUUGUCACCGUAGCUGUCCUAUGUGAAGUGGCAGAGCUGCUGAAUAAGUCUAGGUACAAAGUUGAAGUAUGAGAGUCCAAACCGUACACAUGCCGCUUCACUUUCCACCUACAGUAGCCAAGUAUAGACGAUUCAUAUUGACUGAGAUCUCUUAUGAAUCGUCAUUCUGUGAGUUCAAAGUAGCAUCAGCAGUAGUAGCAGCCACCAUAGCCUCCAUUUGAUCCUGUAUAUAAUUAUUAGAGUUAAUAAUUAAUUACAAGUAAUAAUGAAACUAGGAAAAUGAAAUUUACAAAUGAGCAAUGAGGAGACCAAAAAUUGUAAACUAUACAUAUAAAAAUGAAUCACAUGGAGAUACAGAAACUAAUUUCCAUUGCCCAAUAAUAACAUGAUCU